UCAAAAUUGUGACUCCCCUGCACAGGUAAGCAAGUUUGGUUUUAGGUAAAAUAAACAUAAAAAAAAACUCAAGCUUUGAAACUAGUUUUUCAACGCUCGCAGCUGAGAGUUAUAUUCAACUGGUUUGUUCGAUCUAGGCAGCUCACUGGCCAGAGAGCUCUGAAGAUAAAGAGAUAUAGAUGGUCCCAAGCUCAGGGCCCUUGGUUGAACGAACGCAUAACUGAGUUGUGGGUUUGCCUGUGUUUUAUUUACAUGUACCGACAAUGCAAACAUAUAAUGUUGAUCACGUCACGACACCCCACAUAUAAGUACUGCCCCUAUAGCUUUCUUUGCGAUUGCUGUUGGCUAGCCCACUUUAGAGCAGGUUUUUUAUGGACUGCACGCUAUUUCACUCGGCUCGCUUCCCUUAUUAUGUCUCAAAUAAUGCAUGGUAAUUUUAAUUUGAUUACGCGUUUGAGGUGCACACACAUUCUAAGUGGAUUCUCUCAACGCAGAAUAUUAAAUAAGCAACUAAUUGCUACGGCUGCUACUCGCUUUGAGUAUAAAGUACAAAAGUAUAUGGAUGUGUCGUGCCUGUUACGCCCAUAAAUGAAAUUAUAACAUUACGCAAAUCCAAAGAAUUGACGUCCUCACUAUACAGCACUACAUGGAUAAAUAUUUUAUCUCAAUUGAUUUCGCAGUUCGAUAUAUAAUUGUUUAUUUAUAACCGUAAUAAAUCAGCGAACAGAUUUCUUGAGGAAACUACUAUA